rnacentral:rRNA from 1 species
CCCUUAGAUGUUCUGGGCCGCACGCGCGCUACACUGAUGCAUUCAACAAGCCUAGCCUUGACCGAGAGGUCCGGGUAAUCUUUGAAACUGCAUCGUGAUGGGGCUAGAUUAUUGCAAUUAUUAAUCUUCAACGAGGAAUGCCUAGUAAGCGUGAUUCAUCAAAUCGCGUUGAAUACGUCCCUGCCCUUUGUACACACCGCCCGUCGCUCCUACCGAUUGAGUGGUCCGGUGAGGCUUUGGGAUCUGAGCAAAAAGAGCGUUUCGCUCGUUUGGCUCGGAAAACUCAGUCGAACCUUAUCAUUUAGAGGAAGGAGAAGUCGUAACA